UGUGUGUGUGUGUGUGUGUGUGUAUGUGUGUGGAUAGAUGGGGGCCACCUUAUUAACAGGCUUCCCUGGUAAACCUGAUGCUUCCAGCUGAGUUAUUCUGUGGAGACGUGACCUCUUUGUUUUCUCCAGAACUGACAGGGAAAGUGACGAGGACGCCCUCUUGGCUUUUGCGAUAGUCCAGUCCGUGCCACAGGAGCCCUCACACCGUGUGGUCACGGGGCUCACUAUAUGUAAGGCAGUGUCCCAGGGUUCUUCCGGCAUCCUGGCAUCAAGUCUUGUAACGUGACCGCCAGCGGCCUGAAAGGUGAGCGUAGUCACUAGCCAAGCCUCCUUGCAAUUUGAAGACACCACAGCGGUUAAGAGGUGGCGUUGGAGGCUGGACCCCAGCUUCUGUUGUGACCAGAAAGAUGAAUCAAUUCUUUUACAUGCAUUUAUCUAUUUAUUUAUGUCAUGUGUGUGGCAAGGAAGUACCACAGAGGGUGGUCUGAAUGCCAGGUCCCCAGCAGCUGGCCUCGCGUAGGUUGGUCCAGGAGACAGGGCCUGUGUGGUGGGACCCUGUACUCACUGACAAGCAAGUCAGUCCUCUGCCACUUGGCUGCCUCUGUGACACUGGGCAGACCUUGUGGCCUUCCUUGAGUCUCUGUGGGAGAAUUAGAGUAGGUGAUAUUUAAGGGUUCUGCCUCUACUAUGGUCUUUAGGACAAUGAAAAUUGAGGCAGGAGGAUAGCCUGGGUUACAUAGUAUUUUAUCAAAAAAAAAAAAAAAAAAGGAAGGAAGGAAGAAAGAAAGAAAAGGGGUCAUCAAGAUGGCUCAGUGGGUUCAGUUACUUGCCACGAAACCUGAUGGCCCAAGUUCAAUGCCCAGAGCCCACAUGGUGGGUGGAAGGAGAGAACUGCCUUUGGAAAUUUCCUUCUGACCUCUGCAUGUAUACCAUGGCGUGUGUGCACAUGCACGGGAUCAGUAAACGUACAGAAGGAAAGCUGAAGGGAAGGUGCGACUGAGGCAGUGUGAUGAACUCCCAGAGGCCUCUGCAGCUUCCGCACACUUGCCGACCACCCACGCUCCUAGGCCCAUUCCAGACCACUGAGUAGAGACAACUGGGGAUGCAGCCCACAGCCAGCCCUCCCCGAGUGUCCCUGACCCUGCACUGAACACCACGGCUCGGGAGGACUUCUCAGGCCCUGCGGGAGGACUUCUCAGGCCCUGCAGUCUGGCCUGGCAACCUUGCUUCUCGGUUGGAGAGGACGGAUGGGAAAUCCUUCGGGAUCUGCUAACAGAUCGCGAGCUUCCACCUAGCAACAAAAGGCUAAGGAUGCCAUCAGCUGUCACCGAGACUUCCCUGCUUUGCUGUAGCCCAUCCACCUGAUGGAAAACUGUCUUGAUUUAUGACUUUCUUUGUUCCGUUACCGUAAAACCGUCAUCAAACUGUCACCAUGCUAGAACAUGGCAUUUGGGGCAACCGAGUCCGUGUUCCCUGGGCAUAGUCAUUCCCAUUUGUCUCUGGAAUAAACUAUCCCUUAUUCCUGUCUGGGUAA